rnacentral:rRNA from 1 species
AUUGAACGCUAGCGGCAUGCCUUACACAUGCAAGUCGAACGGCAGCGAGGAGUUUGGUCCGGUGGCGAGUGGCGAACGGGUGAGUAAUGUAUCGGAAUGUGCCUAGUAGCGGGGGAUAACUACGCGAAAGGAUAGCUAAUACCGCAUACGUCCUACGGGGGAAAGCAGGGGAUCUCAAGGCCUUGCACUAUCAGAUCAGCCUAGAUCGGAUUAGCUAGUUGGUGGGGUAACGGCUCACCAAGGCGACGAUCCGUAGCUGGUUUGAGAGGACGAUCAGCCACACUGGGACUGAGACACGGUCCAGACUCCUACGGGAGGCAGCAGUGGGGAAUUUUGGACAAUGGGGGAAACCCUGAUCCAGCCAUCCCGCGUGUGCGAAGAAGGCCUUCGGGUUGUAAACACUUUU